rnacentral:rRNA from 1 species
GUGGGGAAUAUUGGGCAAUGGGGGCAACCCUGACCCAGCGACGCCGCGUGAGGGAAGAAGGCCUUAGGGUCGUAAACCUCUGUUGUGUGGGAAGAAGGAAGUGACGGUACCACACGAGGAAGUCCCGGCUAACUACGUGCCAGCAGCCGCGGUAAUACGUAGGGGACGAGCGUUGUCCGGAAUUACUGGGCGUAAAGGGCGCGUAGGCGGUCAUUUAAGUCAGCUGUGAAAUGGUCCGGCUCAACCGGAUCAUGCGGUUGAAACUGGAUGACUGGAGUGCUGGAGAGGCAAGUGGAAUUCCCAGUGUAGCGGUGAAAUGCGUAGAUAUUGGGAAGAACACCGGUGGCGAAGGCGACUUGCUGGCCAGCAACUGACGCUGAGGCGCGAAAGCCAGGGGAGCAAACGGGAUUAGAAACCCGGGUAGUCC